UUAAAGAGAUAAUUGGGGUAAAAUGAGAUCAUAUGGGUGAUCCCGACCCCAUGUGACCGGUACCUUUAUAAGUAGUGGCAAUUAGGGCACACAGAGAAAACGGCGUGAGCAGGUAGAGGGAGGCGGCCAUUUGCAAGCCAAGGGGAUGAAGGCCUCGGAAGAUGCCAGACCUGCAGAUUCCUGAAUUUUGGACUCCUUGCUUCUAAAACUGCAAAUCAUUAUUGCCUCCUUAUUUUAUGUACAAGAAAAUAUGAAAGUGAAGUGGCUCAGCUACGUCUGACUCUGCAACAUGGACUGCCAGGCUCCUCUGUCCAUGGGAUUCUCUAGCCGAGAAUACUGAACAUUGGACCUUUCUUCCAUCACCAGUCACAUCCACAACUGGCUGCCAGAACUUAAACAGGACUGGGAAAUAGACUCUCAGAGGGCACAACAAAACCUUGGGCACCAGGACCCAGAAGAAGGGAGCAGUGACCCCACAGGAGACUUCCCUGGACUUGCCUGUGGGUGUCCAGGAGUCUCUGGUGGAGGUGCAGAAUCCACUGCAGACCUGGAUAUGUUUCCAAUGCAACAACAAAGUAAUCUAGGAUGACCAGAGUCCUGUCCAUUUUAUAGUUCUUGCAUCUGAAAUGCACAGCAGUCAUCGUUGUUAUGACAAGGAAAGAAAUCACUAACUGGAUUCAAACAGCAACAGAAAGCUUCUAUCUGGAGAUGAUGUACAUGACUCCCUUUCUCUCACAGCCCCUUAGUCAGAUCUGAUCAUUUGUCACAUGACUCUGGUUUUCUGUGAAGAAAUGAGCAAGAACAAUUCUCUUCUAUACCCAAGAAAGAAAACUUAGAUGUGAAUGGGUUAUACUACACUCCCAUAACUUUCUUUUGCAGAUUUCUGCCUCUUAACCCAAGAAAGGGAAAUCAGUAUCCUUCUUAGAAAGUAGAGAUAGAGGUAUUAGAUGAGUAUGGUCUCCUUAUAUGAGUAAAACUAAGAUCUAAUACCAUCAACUAUUGACUGUAAAUAUUGAAUGUUUCUUCAUUUCAGAUGUUAGUUGCUGUCAAUCAGCUAUUAAGGUCGACAUUAAAAUCAACUGGAAAACUUGCACCUAGUGGCUUCAAACAUGGUGCAGUAGAAUUUCUUUGACUUUAAAAAAUUUCAUUCUGCUGACCUUCUUUUGUGCAUGAUUGAACAUGAUGUGAAAUAUCUUCUCUUUCCAUAGCUUAUACAUUCAGUGUAUCUCCCUCCUUCCUUCUCCCUCAGUCUUGUUUCCUCUCUCCCUCUGUCUCUCCUUCCUUCCCUCUUCAUCCCUCUUCCUUCUUCUCUUUCAGUAGCUAUAUAAAUGGAAGAAUUUAUUGAGAAUUUGGGACAAAGUAGGUUUAUGUUGCAGCAAUACAAACCUCAACUUAAUAUUAGUCACCUCUAUUUUAUAAAUCUCUCCUUUAAUAGUUCUUGGAUCAGCCCUUUUGGCUCUUGAUCCUCUUACCAUCUUUCUACCACCUCCUUUCUCAUCGCUGCCCUUCUCUAUUAGGUGUAAGAAUAUUCUUAUUUUCUGUCCCAUUCAGUAGCCUCUGAAGCAUCAAACUCCAGAUUUAGGGCCAUAUUAUUCCCCAUUCUCUGAGAGUGAGGAUAGAGUUCCAUAGCUUCAUUUAUACCAUGAUAAAGAUAGAAUUCUUCCGGGGUUGAAAUUCAGCACUCAGCAGUUUGAUUUCUGCCUUCCAAUUAGGACAAAGGAAGGUAUCAUAUAUGCCUUACUUCCAGAAGCAAGUGUUCUUUCAAUUAAAGCAUCAGAUAAAACCCUUAUAGGAGGACAGAUUGGAUUUCAUUGUCUCAAAAUUUCAGUUAUAAAAAAAUUUAGAUGUAUUUAUUACUAUCUAGGAUCUUAUAACUACCCAAGAAUUAUAAAUAAAUUCUAAUAAAUGCAUUUAAUGGA